GGCGCGCUUAACACAUGCAAGUCGAGCGAGAACCAGGGCUUCGGCCCUGGGGACAGCGGCGAACGGGUGAGUAACACGUGGAUAACCUGCCCUCGGCACCGGGAUAGCCCGGGGAAACCCGGAUUAAUACCGGAUGGCCAUUCCGGCUCUCGAGCCGGUCUGAAAAGGUAGCUUCGGCCUCCGGCCGAGGAUGGGUCCGCGGCGGAUUAGCUUGUUGGUGGGGUAACGGCCUACCAAGGCUCCGAUCCGUAGCUGGUCUGAGAGGACGAUCAGCCACACUGGGACUGAGACACGGCCCAGACUCCUACGGGAGGCAGCAGUGGGGAAUCUUGCGCAAUGGGCGAAAGCCUGACGCAGCGACGCCGCGUGAGGGAGGAAGGCCUUCGGGUUGUAAACCUCUUUCAGGAGGGACGAAGCUACUCGGGUUAAUAGCCCAGAGGGUGACGGUACCUCCAGAAGAAGCCCCGGCUAACUACGUGCCAGCAGCCGCGGUAAUACGUAGGGGGCAAGCGUUGUCCGGAUUUACUGGGCGUAAAGAGCGUGUAGGCGGCCAAGCAGGUCCGUUGUGAAAACUGGAGGCUUAACCUCCAGACGUCGACGGAAACCGCGUGGCUAGAGUCCGGAAGAGGAGAGUGGAAUUCCUGGUGUAGCGGUGAAAUGCGCAGAUAUCAGGAAGAACACCAAUGGCGAAGGCAGCUCUCUGGGACGGUACUGACGCUGAGACGCGAAAGCGUGGGGAGCGAACAGGAUUAGAUACCCUGGUAGUCCACGCCGUAAACGAUGGGUGCUAGGUGUGGGAGGUGUCGACUCCUUCCGUGCCGUAGCUAACGCAUUAAGCACCCCGCCUGGGGAGUACGGCCGCAAGGCUAAAACUCAAAGGAAUUGACGG
rnacentral:rRNA from 1 species